AGAGUUUGAUCAUGGCUCAGAACGUACGCUGGCGGCACGCCUAACACAUGCAAGUCGAACGAAGUAGCAAUACUUAGUGGCAGACGGGUGAGUAACAUGUAGGUAUCUGCCCUUUGGCCUGGAAUAACACGAGGAAACUUGUGCUAAUACCGGAUAAGUCUUUACGGAGAAAGCUUUAUGCACCAUUGGAUGAGCCUGCACUUGAUUAGUUUGUUGGUGGGGUAAUGGCCUACCAAGACUGUGAUCAAUAGCUGAUUUGAGAGGAUGAUCAGCCACAUUGGGACUGAGACACGGCCCAAACUCCUACGGGAGGCAGCAGUGGGGAAUCUUGCACAAUGGAGGAAACUCUGAUGCAGCGAUGCCGCGUGAGUGAAGAAGGCCUUUGGGUUGUAAAGCUCUUUCGUCGGGGAAGAAAAUGACUGUACCCGAAUAAGAAGGUCCGGCUAACUUCGUGCCAGCAGCCGCGGUAAUACGAAGGGACCUAGCGUAGUUCGGAAUUACUGGGCUUAAAGAGUUCGUAGGUGGUUGAAAAAGUUAGUGGUGAAAUCCCAGAGCUUAACUCUGGAACUGCCAUUAAAACUUUUCAGCUAGAGUAUGAUAGAGGAAAGCAGAAUUUCUAGUGUAGAGGUGAAAUUCGUAGAUAUUAGAAAGAAUACCAAUUGCGAAGGCAGCUUUCUGGAUCAUUACUGACACUGAGGAACGAAAGCAUGGGUAGCGAAGAGGAUUAGAUACCCUCGUAGUCCAUGCCGUAAACGAUGUGUGUUAGACGUUGGAAAUUUAUUUUCAGUGUCGCAGGGAAACCGAUAAACACACCGCCUGGGGAGUACGACCGCAAGGUUAAAACUCAAAUGAAUUGACGGGGACCCGCACAAGUAGUGGAGCAUGUGGUUUAAUUCGAAGAUACGCGCAGAACCUUACCAACACUUGACAUGUUCGUCGCGACUUUAAGAGAUUAAAGUUUUCGGUUCGGCCGGACGAAACACAGGUGCUGCAUGGCUGUCGUCAGCUCGUGUCGUGAGAUGUUGGGUUAAGUCCCGCAACGAGCGCAACCCUCACUUUUAGUUGCCAUCAUUAAGUUGGGCACUCUGAAAGAACUGCCAGUGAUAAGCUGGAGGAAGGUGGGGAUGACGUCAAGUCCUCAUGGCCCUUACGUGUUGGGCUACACACGUGCUACAAUGGUAUCUACAACAGGAAGCAAAACCGCGAGGUUAAGCAAAUCCCUAAAAGAUACCUCAGUUCGGAUUGCACUCUGCAACUCGAGUGCAUGAAGCUGGAAUUACUAGUAAUCGUGGAUCAGCGUGCCACGGUGAAU
rnacentral:rRNA from 1 species